AAGGAUCAUUAAUGAAUAUAAUUCGGUCGGUGGGAAAGGGAGGAAGUUGUCGCUGGCCUUUUCCGAGGCAUCGUGCACGCUUCCUCUUUGGAAAGCCGGUCGUUUUUCACGUUUUCAACCAGUGCACCUAAUGUAGGAUGCCUCUCCUUUCAGGAGGAGGGGGGACCUAUGUCUUUCACAGACGCCCUCAGUUUAGAAAGUCUUGGAAUGUUUACUAUCAUCGAGUCGCGACUUCCAGGAGACGCGGGUCGGUGAGAUAAAAGUUAUUACAACUUUCAGCAAUGGAUCUCUUGGCUCUCGCAUCGAUGAAGAACGCAGCGAAUUGCGAUAUGUAAUGUGAAUUGCAGAUCUACAGUGAAUCAUCGAAUCUUUGAACGCACAUUGCGCUCCUCGGUGUUCCGAGGAGCAUGCCUGUUUGAGUGUCAGUAAAUUCUCAACCUUCCUCGAUUUGCUUCGAGGGGGAGCUUGGAUAGUGGGGGCUGCCGGAGACUUGGACUCGCGUUCAGGACUCGGGCUCUCCUGAAAUGCAUCGGCUUGCGGACGAACUUUUGACUUUGCGCGACAAGGCUUUCGGUGUGAUAAUGAUCGCCGUCUUUCGAAGCGCAGGAAUGAAGGUCCCGUGCCUCCAAUACGCGUCGACCAUCCUCUCUCCAUAGGGGAGAAGUCUUCCUUCUUUAUGUUGACCUCAA
rnacentral:rRNA from 1 species